AAUCAGUUAUGGUUCCUUAGAUCGUUCAUACUACAUGGAUAACUGUGGUAAUUCUAGAGCUAAUACAUGCAAAAAGCUCCGACCGUAUGGGAAGAGCGCUUUUAUUAGACCAAAACCAAUGGGGUCGCAAGACUCCUUUGUAUGGUGACUCUGGAUAACUUUGUGCUGAUCGCAUGGCCUAGAGCCGGCGACGUAUCUUUCAAGUGUCUGCCCUAUCAACUUUCGAUGGUAAGCGAUUUGCCUACCAUGGUUGUAACGGGUAACGGGGAAUCAGGGUUCGAUUCCGGAGAGGGAGCAUGAGAAAUGGCUACCACAUCUACGGAAGGCAGCAGGCGCGCAAAUUACCCACUCCUAGAACGGGGAGGUAGUGACGAAAAAUAACAAUACCGGACUCAAUGAGGCUCGGUAAUUGAAAUGAGUACAGUUUAAAACCCUUAACGAGGAUCUAUUGGAGGGCAAGUCUGGUGCCAGCAGCCGCGGUAAUUCCAGCUCCAAUAGCGUAUAUUAAAGUUGUUGCAGUUAAAAAGCUCGUAGUUGGAUCUCGGGUACUAGCAUGUGGUACGCUUAAUUGCUGUUACUACAUGUCUGGUCCUAAUCAACCGGUUGGCCGUUGAUGUCCUUUAUUGGGUGUUUUCGGUAGCCGGUACGUUUACUUUGAGAAAAUUAGAGUGCUUAAAGCAGGCCUUACGCCUGAAUAAUGUUGCAUGGAAUAAUAGAAUAGGACCUCGGUUCUAUUUUGUUGGUUUUGUAGAGCAUUGAGGUAAUGAUUAAUAGGGACAGACGGGGGCAUUCGUAUUGCGGUGUUAGAGGUGAAAUUCUUG
rnacentral:rRNA from 1 species